GUCCUGGUGGAGCACGGAAGCUCACCCCCACCGAAUGUAAAGAAGGGUCUCUUGGAAUGUCAGGGGAGACGGUGGUUCGAAUCCACCCCAGGACU